AUGAGACUUUAUAUUUUAAACUUUUGAAGGUCAGAGAUGCUGAAAGAGCAACUCCAGUAAAAGAGGAGCGUAGAGAGCAGGUGUUGGUUCCCAUUUCAAAUCUUGAACCUAAAUAACAGGGGUUUGAAAAUGAUGCUACUCUUGUUCUUACUCUCCAAUUUAGAGGUGAUGAAAUCCCCCGGCCUGUGGAUUUUUUGACCAAGAUGCCACCUGACCUUACAUCCUCUGGCAGAUCCUGAUGGGAGUCGUUACAAAGAGGACAAUAUGGCUUUAUGGUGACUUUCACUGACAUGCAAGGUUUUCAGAGACAUUUUCAGCAAGCCCAAGUUCAGAGAAAAGGUCCCCUUUGUGUUGUGAACUGGAGUGCAUUUUCCAGACAAUAUGGGCAAGAGCUCCGGGUGCCUUACUCGUUGACUUUGAAAUAUACAAGGACUGCCCACCUGGAUAUGUAGGUGAUGGCAGAAGGGGAGUCCUGAAUGGGUUUUAUUCCGACAAGGAGGUUCAGUGCUAUUGCUCAUUUGAUUGUUUUUUCAAUGAUGGAGGGGAACUUCAGGCUGUGUAGAUUGUGUGUGUACGGUUAAUGUACGUGAUUAUCUGUAUGUGUGUAUUAUGUCUUUUAAACAAUUAUUUUUGUUUUGAAAUAAAAGUUAUCACUGGUAUGGGUUUGGUGUUUUUGAGUGGCAUGCAUACU